rnacentral:rRNA from 1 species
UACGUAGGGUGCGAGCGUUGUCCGGAAUUAUUGGGCGUAAAGGGCUCGUAGGCGGUUUGUCGCGUCGGGAGUGAAAACCUUGGGCUUAACUCAGGGCUUGCUUUCGAUACGGGCAGACUAGAGGUAUGCAGGGGAGAACGGAAUUCCUGGUGUAGCGGUGAAAUGCGCAGAUAUCAGGAAGAACACCUAUGGCGAAAGCAGCUCUCUGGGACGGUACUGACGCUGAGACGCGAAAGCGUGGGGAGCGAACAGG